UACGUAGGGGGCGAGCGUUGUUCGGAUUCAUUGGGCGUAAAGGGUGCGUAGGCGGCGCGGUAAGUCGGGUGUGAAAUCUCGGAGCUUAACUCCGAAACUGCAUUCGAUACUGCCGUGCUUGAGGACUGGAGAGGAGACUGGAAUUUACGGUGUAGCGGUGAAAUGCGUAGAUAUCUGGAGGAACACCGGUGGCGAAGGCGGCGUUCUGGACUGCAACUGACACUGAAAAACGAAAGCCAGGGGAGCAAACGGGG
rnacentral:rRNA from 1 species